CGAUAAGGAUAACGAUUAUCUUGAUACAGUGACCCUGGAAUGGAAGAGUCUGCCUGUUGAUUACUGCAAAUUGACGAGGUGCAAGAAUAAAAACGGUUGUAUCGAUACGAAAGUCAUUGUUCCGUCUGUCAAAAAUAAUUCUAACCUCAAAUACGAAAAAGUGACGUUAACCAAACGUUGAUCGUACAGUGAACGUAUUAAAGAUUUGUUAUCGCCGAGCAAAUAUAACAGUGAAAAAUCAACGUUCCGUGACGAUCGUGUCAGUCAUCGGAUAUCUAUCAGUAGUGCCAGGAGUAUUGAGAAUAUCAAGCACAGAUAAGCAAGGACACGUCUCAGCGAGCAGCGGUAACUCCAAGAAGAAACGUUAAUGAACAGUUAUGGACGUGAAGAAGAAGAAUAAGGGGAGUAAAAAAAACAAAGCAUAAGAAGAGAAGCUGCAUCGUUCUAAGGUAGAAGCGGAGAACGAUUUAUCUAAAUCUUCCGUAAACGACAGCCCACCCGUUCGAACGAGAUAACUGUCAAUUUUAAUUAGUCAGACAUCACGCGCCAGCUUGACAUCCAUUUACACCCUGGGCAUCAAUUUGCCCCUGUAAACUCAAGCAUGGCGACAAACUGAGAAUAUUCAAGGUUACCACGGCUGGAGGAGAAGAUUAAAAAGAAAUGGUCCGGGGUCACGGAAUCCUUACCUGGUGCCGAGUGAUGAAUCUGCUGUCAUCAGGAGGAAGCCACCAGGACUUUGAGAACUCGCUUUUCUCUCCUCCCAUACGUGGAUUCCCCAGAGCAAUUUGUGGAUGGAAAACAGGAGGAAGUCAUUUAGCAGAUUUCUACUGGUGUCAGGGAGAGAAAGAAAGAAAAAAAAAUAAGACUAGAAAGGAAUAGAAAUGCAGGACGGAAGGUAUAAAAAAAAUCUUUAAGAACGUAAAGGAGGUUCCCAACAUCCUUAUUCUAAAAAUAAGAAAAUUGAUAGUCCCAAUUUAUGGGACUCGCGUGGAUCCUUAGAGGAGCCAUGAAUGGCCACUGAUUAGGAGGACCCUCCAAUAAUUCACAGGGUACGAAUCAUCCUUAUCCAAAAAGACCUUAUCCCAACGACCGACGAGAUGCCGCGAUAAAUUGAUGAUGGCUGUCGUCGUUAACGUCCACCACAGCAGUUCAUUCUCAUGGGAUAUACGAGGGGAUUUUACCUAUAUGCAUGAAAAUCGAGGGUGAAACCCCUGAUCGAUUUCCUUAUAUCUAUAUACCUAUAGCUACCCGGACGCAAUACGUCGAUGUUAAUGGACUCUAGGAAAUAGUCUCGUUUCCCUUGAAUUUCCUCUUUUUUACCUCAAAGGUAAAGGAGGUAAGGAGAAAAAAAAAAGUACUUGACGUUAAAAGGACAUUAAAAGCAUCCAUCCCUUAGCGACUACUAUUUCAAAAUGAUUGAUCGAGCAUCCUGUCCCCGUCUUCAAAGAGUCCUCGUGUUUCAACGCUGACAGGAUUCGUGAUCCUGAACGUCAGUCAAGCCCAAAAUUGCACUUCCCGACACGAGUCCCUUCAUUGCGGGGAGAGAGCCUUGUUUACGCAGGGGUAGUCCCCUCAGCUUCUAGUCUUCUAGUCUUCUAGUCUUCUAGUCUUCCAUGUUGUAAUCAAAGCGUCCGAGCUGCUGAUCAAAGCAAAAGGGGAAAUCUUAUUUAUGAGUGAAAUGUAUGUGUGAUCAUCUCUUUUUUGACAAGACGGUAAACCUUGUUACUGUAUUCUCGUUUCUUCGAAUUACUCGAAUGGCAGAAUCGGUGGCAGGCAGAAGGCGAUGAAAAUACGAAACUUGUAUAUACGAGGAAAAGAAAGUAAAAAGAGAAUAGAAAAAAUUCUCUAGGGCGUCUGCCUCUGGGUAAACUUGCAUCCCUUUGUCAUUCUUCCGCGAAACGAUCUGCCAUGGUACAGCCAGUUGGUUCGUGUCAAAGCUAUGGGAAAUGCAUUUAUCCUGGUAGCUUUUGUAUCAAAGACUUCCCCUAGCUUUUAUCACUCGUUAUACACACGUAAAUACGUACGUGCGGUUUAUGCGCAGGGGUUGUCAAAUAUUUGGUCGGACAAAUUCUUGCCAAGAUAAAUAUAAGGGAAUUUACUAAUGGAAGCUUCGCUUUUAGUUACCGUUCAAAUACAAAUAUAGUAUAUAGCUUCAAUAGUAUCUGCAAAAGUAUAUAAGCGUAUACCGUACAGUGUGUCUGGAUGAUAAAUUCCUUUUUGCUGGAACAGAAAGGAGUGCUCAUGAGAAUCCUUGUAGUCCAUAGGCCUGUAGUACCCUGGUGCAGGUAUACGUUGCAGAGGGGUUGGAUCCUUUGAGAAGCCUUGUCGUUCAGAAUUCCCCUAGAAUUACCAGAAAGCAAAAACAAAAUAUCCCUAGACUGUCAUAGGUAUAUAUUUAAUGUAGAAAGAAAAAAAAAAAAAACUGUUGCAUACCUCUGAUAUAAUUUUGCAUGUCCUACCGGGUGAGCUUUUGAUACUAUGUUUUAAAGGAAAAUUAAUUAUUAAUUUUCUCUUUCAGCAUCUCCUGUUUUUACAUGGGAAAAUAGUACACAGCCUAGGAGGAGUGUUCGAAAGGAUAUUUUUCUUUUCUUUCCAGUGCACCGUGUGGAGGUUCAGACCGAAAAUAAGAAGUUGAUCCUGAGACUGGUGGUUAGAUUAACAAUGAAAACAACUUCUGAUCCCUGGAGGCUUGCAGCCAUCUUAAUGCCAACCACGUGUCGGUCAAAAACAGUGUAACGGUGCAUGGAUAGAAGUUAUCCAAAGAUUACACAAGCCAGAAUAUAUCUCCACUUAAGCUAAGAGCGUAGCGCAAGGCUCCCACAGGACCUACCGUAAUAUCUAAAAAUAAGAAAAUAAAAGAGCUUCAAGGAAGAAAAAUAAAACCAUAAUAAGAGCCAGAGAAUAAGAGAAGAACGUGUGGCGUAGGUCUAGUAGGUGGAGUCUAAUAGGUGAACCAGGAGAAGGAGCAUUCCUAAAGAUAAGAGAAGCUCUUGAGAAACAUUCAGCAGACAUUCCUUAUCAGUGUUAUGAUAAAAAAAAACUAUUUCAUGCAUCCAACAGCUGUUACCAGUAGCCACAGCAUCCAGUAGGACAGAAUAAUUGUACAAUGAUUGAUAAUAUUAAUUAAUA